AUUUUAUUGACUGGCCUCAAACUUGGGGUCCUCCUGCCUCAGCCUCCCCAGUAGCUGGGAUUACAGGCCUGCGCAGUGCCGUCCCCGCUGAGUGAUUUUUAACAGAGAAACAUCCCAGCCCCUUGUCUCCGUCUGGUGGGGGGCACUACCCACUGGUCACGUUCCACCUGGUGUCCCCUCCUCUUUCUGUGUCCCGCACACGGAGACCUUCAUUCAGUGGAAGUCACUCACCGACUACGGAUUAAGUGCCAGCUCUAGGAGAUGACAACUAAACACGAAAUGAGUCACUUGCUUAGUGGGAGGAGUCAGAACAGCCACCGGGAGGGAGAGAAAGUCCCCUGCAGGAGGACCAGGAGCGGGGGCUGUCCCCAGUGCUCCCUGAGGCCCGCCGCUGGUCAGCUGUGGCCGGCCCCUUCCUACAGCCCCGGGGUGUUGACGCCAGGUGCCCUGGACGAGGAGCCGGUCUGUCGUCUGGCUCUUGCGCAGAGACCGUGGCACCCACACCCCGCGGGGAACUGGGGCGAGGCCCCCGCCGCCCUCCGGAGGGGACGCUCCGACGCGCACCGCGGGUUCCGUCCACCCCAGGGCGCGGCCCCGGCCCCCGCAAACGUGGAGGCCCGCACCCUGCCCGGGACCGAAGCUGGAGCAGAGAUGCCCCGCCAGCUCGGGACCCUUCCGGCCACCGCGGCUCCUCCUGGCCCGUGUGAGCCUCAGGGACCGGGCGCGGCUGGAGUCACCCAGAGACGCCGCCAGGCGGCGCUGAGUCCCGAGCGCACGUGGGGCCCGCGAUCGGCCCCGGGGGACCUUGUAAGGCUCGGGGACUUGGAACCUUCCCCUAAGGGCGUCGUGUGGGCCUACGGCCAGGUUGAGAGAAAGGCGGAAAGUGGAAAAUAGGGCGGAGGGUGAAAAAGUGAUGGGGGGCGGGGGGGAGAUGGUUACAGGGGUUUAGGGACCUGCAGCGCGACACAGACCCCCCCAGACAACCUGAUCUUACAUCCGAGCAAGCUCUGAACAGAGUUAAUGCCAACAAAUAAUUAUUGAAAAGGAAAAAAAUUAAACUUG
rnacentral:lncRNA from 1 species